rnacentral:rRNA from 1 species
AGUGAACGCUGGCGGUAGGCCUAACACAUGCAAGUCGAACGGCAGCACAGUAAGAGCUUGCUCUUACGGGUGGCGAGUGGCGGACGGGUGAGGAAUACAUCGGAAUCUACUUUUUCGUGGGGGAUAACGUAGGGAAACUUACGCUAAUACCGCAUAUGAUCUACGGGUGAAAGCAGGGGAUCUUCGGACCUUGCGCGAUUGAAUGAGCCGAUGUCGGAUUAGCUAGUUGGCGGGGUAAAGGCCCACCAAGGCGACGAUCCGUAGCUGGUCUGAGAGGAUGAUCAGCCACACUGGAACUGAGACACGGUCCAGACUCCUACGGGAGGCAGCAGUGGGGAAUAUUGGACAAUGGGCGCAAGCCUGAUCCAGCCAUGCCGCGUGGGUGAAGAAGGCCUUCGGGUUGUAAAGCCCUUUUAUUGGGAAAGAAAAGCAGCGGGUUAAUACCCCGCUGUUCUGACGGUACCCAAAGAAUAAGCACCGGCUAACUUCGUG